rnacentral:rRNA from 1 species
UUGACUGAGCGGCGGACGGGUGAGUAACGCGUGGGCAACCUGCCUUACACAGGGGGAGUAACAGUUAGAAAUGACUGCUAAUACCGCAUAAGACCACAAAACCGCAUGGUUUGGUGGUAAAAACUCCGGUGGUGUAAGAUGGGCCCGCGUCUGAUUAGGUAGUUGGUGGGGUAACGGCCUACCAAGCCGACGAUCAGUAGCCGACCUGAGAGGGUGACCGGCCACAUUGGGACUGAGACACGGCCCAGACUCCUACGGAAGGCAGCAG